AGAGCGAACGCUGGCGGCAGGCUUAACACAUGCAAGUCGAGCGGGCGUAGCAAUACGUCAGCGGCAGACGGGUGAGUAACGCGUGGGAACAUACCUUUUGGUUCGGAACAACCCAGGGAAACUUGGGCUAAUACCGGAUAAGCCCUUACGGGGAAAGAUUUAUCGCCGAAAGAUUGGCCCGCGUCUGAUUAGCUAGUUGGUGAGGUAACGGCUCACCAAGGCGACGAUCAGUAGCUGGUCUGAGAGGAUGAUCAGCCACAUUGGGACUGAGACACGGCCCAAACUCCUACGGGAGGCAGCAGUGGGGAAUAUUGGACAAUGGGCGCAAGCCUGAUCCAGCCAUGCCGCGUGAGUGAUGAAGGCCCUAGGGUUGUAAAGCUCUUUGUGCGGAAGAUAAUGACGGUACCGCAAGAAUAAGCCCGGCUAACUUCGUGCCAGCAGCCGC
rnacentral:rRNA from 1 species